rnacentral:tRNA from 7 species
GCAUCCGUAGCUCAGCUGGAUAGAGUACUCGGCUACGAACCGGGCGGUCGGAGGUUCGAAUCCUCCCGGAUGCACCA